GCUACAGCACUGCAGAGGGCAUCGGGCUGCAUCCCAGCAGCAGAGUCCUGCACUGGGUAGGGUACGGGUACCCGCAAAAACAGCUGAUUUGCGGGUGAUUUUUAAAAAAACAUUUUUUCGGGUGGAAAAAAUAACAUGCGGGUCGGAUCGCGGGUUUUAGAUAAACACAUCAGUCAUUAGUUCGGUAAACUACAGAUAACUAUCUUGGUCAUUAUUUACUCUCUGAGGAUUGCCUCCGCUAUUUCGCAACGGUCAUUGGUUCAGCUGUUUACACGCGUUUCACCAUCUAAUAACACAAAUUGUGAUUGGACGACAGAAUUAACAUGACUGCCACUGUCUAACAAGCGCCGCUUCCAAAACAGUAAAUAAUUAUUUAGGUAUUUGAGAAAUAAGUGGAUAAAACUAUCACUUUAUAAUGUUUCUGAAGUGUUUCCCUGAUGGAUUACUUCUCUCCUCGAUGGAUUCUAAAAACACGUGACGGCUCGUAACUGCUCAACGUCGCUCUGGACAGAAACAAGCGGCGCCCCCCUGCCUGCCCCACAUCUACUGACUUGCCCACUCGUAGUGCAAGAGGAGAGAGAGAGAGACCCUGCACUGUUGGCAGAACAGCCAUGGACUACAAUAACAUGAGCAUAAGCAGCAUGCAAGGGAAUAAAUGACAAUUCAUUUGAAUAUGCCCCUUUAAAUCAACACGGACCAUAUCACACAGGUUACUUUGCUCUCAAUGGGAGAAGUACUCUUCAGGAGUACUCAUUUCUAGCAGUUUUCUGUGACCAAAAGUGAGAUACAAUCUGUUGGAAUGUAAUGCGAUUGCGUGCAACAUUUUAGAGUUAUUCGUUAUUCGUUAUUUUAGAGCUAAGGACUCCUGGGGACUCGACCCGGCCUUUUUAAAAAAACACAAGGACAUUUUAGCUUUACCAAGCGCAUAUAUCUCCAACCGCUCAUUAGACAGGUGUGUGUUCCCCUCUGCCCUGAAGUCAGCCAUUAUAACCCCAGUUUUUAAAUCGGGUGACUGGCAGGAGGUGACAAACUACAGGCCCAUCAGUAUACUUCCUGCCAUUUGUAAAGUACUUGAAAAGGAGGUUGCGGAACAGUUGAAGCUUCACAUUGACAGUGAAAAAUGAUUACAUCCCAUGCAAUUCGGAUUCUGUACAAACCAUUCCACUGAAACAGCUUGUUGUUAUUUUCUUGAGGUAAUUAGAGAGAAGCUUGACAAAGGGGGUGUAGUAGGAGCUAUCUUCCUGGAUCUACGUAAGGCAUUCGACACAGUGAGUCACUCAGUCCUCCUAUCUAAACUAACUAAAUUUAAACUUUCAGCUAACAUACUUAAAUGGCUGAAGUCCUACUUGGAUGAUCGCACUCAAUGUGUCAAGAUCAAAAAUGAAAUAUCAUCUUUUCAAAAUUGUAGUAUGGGUGUUACCCAAGGAUCGAUUCUUGGUCCCCUUUUGUUCUGUAUAUACAUCAAUGACCUUCCAACGAUCUGUGACAAAGUUGAAACAGUAAUGUACGCCAACGACACAGUCAUAUUUGCCCAUGGGAAAAACCAUGAUGAAGUUGCUGCUACACUAUCAAAUGCUAUGGAGAGAAUAUCAGCCAGUCAUGCCUUACACUGAACACAGACAAAACAGUGACUAUGUACUUUCAUAAACAGAAUAAGAAACAUGGAAAUACUUGUAAAAGGACAAACGAUAAAAAAUGUUGAGGAAUUUAAAUACCUGGGGGUUACUCUUGACUCAGAUCUGAGCUUUAAAAAACACAUAAAAAAUGGCUCAUGUUUUGAAAUUCAACAUCAUGAGCUUCUGUCAUAUCAGGAACUCUUUAACAACUGAUGCUGCAAAAAUGUACGUCAAUGCUAUGAUACUUCCCUACAUGAGAUACUGCAUGCCAUGUUGGACCCAAGCUAACCAGACCACUCUAAAUCUAAUCAGAUCUCUCUACGGGGAAGCACUGAAGGUUCUGGACAGAAAACCUGUCCUACUCCCCUGCUCUGAACAGAGAACAAGAGCUUUAAGAUCUAUGACGAGAGGAGACUGUAAAAUCCCACAAAAAAUCAUCCUUUGGUCAAUCUGCUUUCUCCAUCAAAGCCAUCAGAGAAUGGAAUAGACUCCCUAGUGAUCUGAAAAUCAAGAAGAAUUAUCACAGUUUCUGCCUUGCCACAAAGAAAUGGCUCCUGAGUAAGCAAUGUUGCCAACACUAGGUGCUGCUGUCAGAUUUCCUGUCUGAUUUUCUGUUAUUAAUUCUCGUUUUGCGUUUCUCUCCUCUGCUGCUUAUCUGAGCUCUGUUACAGAUAUUUCUGACAUAUUACCAUUGUUGGUAUUUAAUCAUCCAUGCAAUCCCGAAUUACCAUUGUAUGUUCCUUAUUGUUGUCCUCUAAGCUGUAAUCAACUCAACUUCUGAAACUUUUUUUUUUUUUUUUUUU